UACAGAGGUCUCAAGCGUUGUUCGGAUUCAUUGGGCGUAAAGGGUGUGUAGGUGGCGCGCUAAGUCGGGUGUGAAAUUUCGGAGCUUAACUCCGAAACUGCAUUCGAUACUGGCGUGCUUGAGGACUGGAGAGGAGACUGGAAUUCACGGUGUAGCAGUGAAAUGCGUAGAUAUCGUGAGGAAGACCAGUGGCGAAGGCGGGUCUCUGGACAGUUCCUGACACUGAGGCACGAAGGCCAGGGGAGCAAACGGG
rnacentral:rRNA from 1 species